UAUACUUGCAGGUUGCCAUGUGCCAGCCGUGCAACUGCCAUUGAAAUGAAUGGGAAUUUUUACAGACCCAGAGACUCUACAUUUUGUGAGUCCCCCAGCAAGGCAUUCACUUCCUCCAGGAUACAUUUGUCUAUUAAUGGCAUACCUGAUGGCUGGCUUGAGUUCCUCUAGCCUGAACCGUGGCUAGCCUGUCAUAAUAGCGUGAGAUGGGGUUGUCGUGCUCGAUGCCUUUCUUAGCACACCGCUGCUUGUAGAUCUCCACCAGAGACAAUGACGAUGGAUUGUCCUCAACUAACCGCAUCUGAGGAGACACCGCCACCACCCUCGGGACUAGAAAGAGAACAGGAGAAAUACAAUUUAGAUCUUCCACCCUCCAUCUCCACAGGGAACUCGGAGCAGAACGGCAACCUCAUUUUUAUUCAUUCUGCUCCUGUCCCCUCUUUCCUCCUCUGUUAACACUAUACAGCUUUUUUCUGCUACUUUUCACCUCAAUCUCGCCUACUUCUCUCUCCUCUGUUCUUCAUCUCCUUCAAUCUCUCAGAGAAUAACUAGGCUAUUCAGUCUAGUUCUGAGAGUUAAUGGUUGACAUUCCUACUUAUAAAAAUAAUAAAUGUAAGCAUUGAUCUUAACAUGUGCAUUGCCCUUUUAUUAAAUGAGCAGCUCAGAUUCAAAAGCCUCUAAACGUCACCUGCUUCAAAAAUAAGAUAAUGAUAUUAAAAAUGAGUUACCGCCAAAUCAGUAUUGUAUCUGGUGUGUUUUAAAAUGUAAAUUUUACACAAAAUCUGAUAUCUGCCAUCUUAUUCCGUAAUUUUUUCUCCCUUUUUGCCAAAACGCGAUAAACGCCAGUCCUCUGCAGAAUGCAAUAAAUCCACUUAACCAAUCACAGUCCACCAUUCCACGCAU